AAUAGCCGCAAGGCUGAACCAGCAACUUGGAGGAAUGUAUGGCAAUAGCCAAUUGCAUUAUUAUGAUGCAGUAUCGAAGUCGAAUAAAGUUCUGGGUAGACUAUGAUAAUGACAUUAUCUAUCUAUGUGGUCUUGACCAAACUACGUGCCAGCAGUCGCGGUAAUACGUUAAAGACUAGUGUUAUUCAUGUUUAAUCGGUUUAAAGAGUACCAAGACUGUUAAUAAAGCCCAUAAAGGGGACACAUUAACUAGAGUUAUAUGAAAGGAGGCUCUUAGGUACUAUCGAGUGUAGAGAUAAAAUUCUUUGAUACAGAUGAAGGCACGGGUCAAUGCGAAGGCAUCUUCUUAUGUAAUAACUGACGUUGUAGGACGAAGGCUUAGCGAAGAAAAAAGGAUUAGAUACCCUCGUAUUCUAGGCAGAAAAUGAUGAAUGUCAUAGGUUGAAUAUAAUAUUAUUUUAUUUGGUCUAUAAAUGAAAGUGUAAGCAUUCCACCUCAAGAGUAAUUUGGCAACAUUGGAACUGAAAUCAUUAGGCCGCUUUUGAAACCAGUAGUGAAGUAUGUCKUUUAAUUUGAUAACCCGCAAAAAACCUUACCACAUUUUGAAUAAAUAUUUAUAUAUAAAUAUUUAUAUAUAUAUAUAUAUAUUUACAAGCGUUGCACGGCUGUCUUCAGUGAAUGUCGUGAGAAUUGGUUAACUCCAUAUAAUUGACGCAAACCCUUACUUUAUUUAUAGAUAAAGUUGUUCACCUGUUAUGGGAUAUGAUAAUAGGGAUCAAGACAAGUCAUCAUGACCAAAAUAGUGU
rnacentral:rRNA from 1 species